rnacentral:lncRNA from 1 species
AGGGCAAGCCAUACAAGCCAGAGGGGCAGAAAGGUCAGUUCCUUUGCUUCAGCUUGUACUUUUCGUUGCACAGUUUGCCAUGAAGUAGGUAAUGAAAUGUUCUGCCUUACUAUGACGGGAUCCGAUCCGACAUGGAUUCAGGGUGGUCAACUAUUAUGAAAACAAAAAAUCGGACACUGGAUUUGAAUGCUUUCAGUAUCAAUGUCAAGGACAACCGGGAUGAAAAGUAUUUGGUAUUAGUAAAAUGACUGGAUUGCAUUAUAACUAAUUAAGUGCACUAGUCUGUUCAAUAAGUGUUUACUUUGGUUGUGAUAAUGUACUCGACUGUUACCAGCACUAAGAUUUAGGCCCUUUCUGAGUGCUGUCCUCUUAAUAUAUAAUUUGAUUAUUGAGUGGGCAAUAUAAUUCAAGCAAAUUAAUGAAGUGAUAAUAACCUUCGGAAUGCGUACAGUAGUGCAAUCUGGAAAUGCAUAGCCCAGUAAAAAUACCAAAACAGGACACUGGUUGCCUCUAGAACUGUGAAUUAGCAAAACAGUCAUACGGACAUAGGACAUUGUACUGCCAUUCUGCUCUGACUGAGUCAAAUUUUGACAUGCACACUGUUCUAAGCAUUGGACAUUAUUAUUAGUCUAUGCAUACCAAACUGAUACGCAGUUAAUAUAUGAACGAAAUUAAAAAUAUUUCCACUAUUGCGUGAUGGGGCUUUGAAUUCUCUUUUGUAUGUUCAGAUGCACUAAAGUUGUGUUCUUAUAUACGAUAAGACUGGAGGAUUGCCCCAAGUAAACUGUAUUCUGUAUUGUAUAUCUAGUGAAUUUUACCUGCUCACCAUUUGCAGACGUUAUAGUCAGAGAUUCAUUGGGGUGCGGAUUCAAGAAAAAUACUUAACUAGUCACUGUUAUGCUUGAUCAUUUAUAUAUCCCUAAGAAAAACAUGAUGGUUUUGUUUUGGGCAAUGGAAACUGAUUGCACGAGCAUGAGUGGAGGAAGAAUGAAAGAGGUACUCGAUAUGUUUGAUAGAAAUGUUAUUGACUUUGAAUCCCUUCCUAGCUGUUGGCUUAGUGGAAAGAGAUUUAAAAUCUUUAAUAUCAUCACUUCGUGAAUCCUGUGGGGGCUCUGGUUGAAGAUGGUAAUUAACCACAAGAUCUGGUUGAAUACGAAACAGGUGUGGAAGCACAUCCUCACGUCAGUAUGGGAGUGGAAUGUGCCGUUCAAAGAUGCAGAGGCAGUGGACUUAGACCGCUUCGGAGCCCCGUUAAUGGAGAACCUGAGAACUCCACUUCGGAGCUGAAGAGGGGGCUGGUGCCGAAGCUGCCAAGGAAACCUGCUGCCCAGCCGGCACAGCUCCACUACUACCUCAGUGCACAUCUAGUGGAGGAGUGAUGACAACACCCCUGUUGAGGUAAUCAUAAGCACACCAUGCUGUUCACCUCUUAAACCUGAAUUUUUUUGGUUUGCAUUUAGGCUUUAUUUUCGAUGCUAUGCAACGCUGAGUUUGCGGACGAUUUGAACCUGUUAGCACUGUAUGACUCGUUGGUUUCAUACUAUAAAAUGGACCUGUGGGGGCUCCACCCUGUUCAUCCAAAAAAAAAAUCCUUUCUGUUACCUGUAGGUAGACCACAUACUUAUUUUGAAUUGUUCUCUGAAUCUUAUCAACAGCUUAUCACCCCAUGGGCUAGGAGUGAUGUCUUGAACCAUUCCAAACUUGUAGAACCAAACCGAUAAUAACUGCACAAUGAAAGAUACAUGGACAUAUCCCGGUGGUAUCAUCAAGAAAGCUGAACUUGUUGCUUUAAGGAGUAUUGUCUUCCACACAAGUUCUAGUAAGAUGCUCAUACUUGAAAACACCUACUAGUCGUGGGCAUAUACACCCUGAGGCACUGUCUUCUCUGAUGCUUACCUUUUGGUUGAAAAUAGAAAAAAGUUAAAAUCAGCUAUCCUGAACAUACCAUCUGCUGGCCUUCAUAUUCUGCAUCCCACCAUAACAUGCUCAGCGUAACAUCGCCAUUGCUUGAGUGGCACCUAGUUUCCACAGCGUGUAUGCUCUUUUGUUGCGUUGCCUAUGUUGUCCUGUAUCAAUGUACUGACAAGUUAUUUUAUGUGCUCAUAUCAUGAAUAAGAAGAUUGUGAUUUUCCCUGUCUCAAUAGAAAACUGAGGAGAUAAUAGCAAGCACCAAGUAGCCAGAUCACAAGAAGAGAGAGGGCAAGUCUUGCUUGAUGCCAACGCCCUGUAAGCUGUAACUUAAGGAUCUUUCCACUCUGCUUUGCACUUGGAGUUUGUAUCUGACCUAUGUAGAUCUAGAUCAUGGACCUGUUCUUGCUGUUUC